UCAGAGGUUGGAGAAGACAACCGGUGGACUAAACAUCAAGCCUCUGCACGAUUCAGGUAAGUGGAAUAAAAUACAUUGUAAAUAAACAUUAUUAAAACAGAUUGUGAAGUCAUUCAUUCAAAACUUGCUAUGACCUAAGCCUAAAUGACUUAAUUUCUUUUUAGAAUUAAGACAACCUUAGCAGGAGAGCCCCAGCAGUAACUUUCUCUCAAGCAGAUGAGCAAUAAGUUGCUUUGUAUGAACACCACCCUAACAAUCAAGUAGCCUGUUAACAGUAGACCAAAGGUAUGAUGAUCAAUUAUAAAUGCAAUAUGGUUGAAAGGUCAGUAAACAAACAACAAAAAGGUAAUUUCUUAAUAGAAUGUCUAUACAUUUUUUGCUUUUGUUACAUAUUUCAUACAUCAAAAUCAUUAAACGUUAAUAAUUAUGUAUUCCAACUUGUUGCAGCUUGACAAAAUGUAGCUUGAAGGAGAAGGGACAGCUGAGUUACAAAGUCCUGGUACGCAGACGAUGAUACUAUUACACUGACAAGAGUGUAAUGAUGAUGGAGACACAAGCCAGAGAAAGGGGGGACCAAACACCAGGCCAGAAUUCUGCAUGAGUCAGAUCCAGUGGGUGCAGAUCAUCAUACAGAUGGUUCAAGUGUGGAUCCACCUAAUAUUCAAGGUAAAAGAGCAUUUGUU